GAUGAACGCUGGCGGCGUGCCUAAUACAUGCGAGUCGAGCGAACAGACGAGGAGCUUGCUCCUCUGACGUUAGCGGCGGACGGGUGAGUAACACGUGGAUAACCUACCUAUAAGACUGGGAUAACUUCGGGAAACCGGAGCUAAUACCGGAUAAUAUAUUGAACCGCAUGGUUCAAUAGUGAAAGACGGUUUUGCUGUCACUUAUAGAUGGAUCCGCGCCGCAUUAGCUAGUUGGUAAGGUAACGGCUUACCAAGGCAACGAUGCGUGGCCGACCUGAGAGGGUGAUCGGCCACACUGGAACUGAGACACGGUCCAGACUCCUACGGGAGGCAGCAGUAGGGAAUCUUCCGCAAUGGGCGAAAGCCUGACGGAGCAACGCCGCGUGAGUGAUGAAGGUCUUCGGAUCGUAAAACUCUGUUAUUAGGGAAGAACAAAUGUGUAAGUAACUAUGCACGUCUUGACGGUACCUAAUCAGAAAGCCACGGCUAACUACGUG
rnacentral:rRNA from 1 species